rnacentral:rRNA from 1 species
GUAGGUGGCAAGCGUUGUCCGGAAUUAUUGGGCGUAAAGCGCGCGCAGGCGGUCCUUUAAGUCUGAUGUGAAAGCCCACGGCUCAACCGUGGAGGGUCAUUGGAAACUGGGGGACUUGAGUACAGAAGAGGAAAGCGGAAUUCCAAGUGUAGCGGUGAAAUGCGUAGAGAUUUGGAGGAACACCAGUGGCGAAGGCGGCUUUCUGGCCUGUAACUGACGCUGAGGCGCGAAAGCGUGGGGAGCAAACAGGAUUAGAUACCCUGGUAGUCCACGCCGUAAACGAUGAGUGCUAAGUGUUAGGGGGUUUCCCGCCCCCCUUAGUGCUGCAGCUAACGCAUUAAGCACUCCGCCUGGGGAGUACGGCCGCAAGGCUG